ensembl:lncRNA
GCUCAAACCAAGAAAACAGCAACACAACAAAGUGUGAUGCUCAAAAAUCAAAUUUAAAAAAUCCCCCAAUUAUAUGGAAUCUAGAGAUUGGCUAGACCGUCCAUAAGGACAUGCUGUUUUUUGUUCUUGUUUUCGUUUGCGGUUUAUUUUUUAAAUUUCUAAUCCAUUGUGGACCGCUAUGUUUUUGUAAAAUACAAUAUAAAUGAGUUACUAAAUAAAAUUUUAAUUAAUUAAUUACUUUUUUGGUUGGCGCCCUCCAGGUGUGGGAUCAGAAUUCCCCAACCAGGGAUGGAACGCACACCCCCGGCAUUAGAAGGUGCAGUCCUAACCACGGAGCCGCCAGGGAAGUCCCACUAAACACUUGUUAAAAGACAUAAAGCUCCAAUCCAAAUAUCUUAACACCAGACCUUUGUAGGCUACCUCCUUUAUGUUCAGCAUGUAUGAAAUGAUUUCGUUUUUUAUAUGCAGCUGCUAUAAAAGUCUGUCUUUCUUUUCGAAGUCUGUAUUUAUCUCUCUGCUUAGCCCUGAGACGUAGGUGGGAUAAACGCUCCAGAGUUUCACGCGCCGGACGCCUGGAUGGCUGCCUCCCCCGAACCCUUGCCCCGCAUCAUCCGGCCAAGCAUCCCCUCUGGAGCAUGCGCCGUCCAUUCCUGCGAUCUGGCCUGCGGAGGUCCCUCCUCUCCGGCCUUUCAAGCAGAGACCUUCAUCUGACCCUGCCCGGCUACUGGGCAAGGCUCCGUUGCCCUGUGACACUGAAGGGCGAGGGAGCCACAGAGGGCUCAAGAGUCCCUGAGCAUCAGGGUUUACCGGAUGCGUGGUGUGAACUAGGCUCCAAAUGAAGAGCCUGGGAGGAGGGCCUCCGUCGCCUCGGUUACCCAGGUGGUUCCCAUCCCAAGCCUCUCCUUCAGCCCCCACAGAAAUGCGGAGUGGGGCUUCUCCUGGGAACGGUGGUCAGGGCUGCAAUGCCCGGACCUGGCUCUGCCACGCUCCAUGCUUCUGCUGAUGCACAGCGCCUGCCAGCGCAUCCUCUCCCUGCGCAUUCAUCAGGACCCACACCCAGGAACACACCCAGCUGCACCUUGUUUGAAAAAGAAAAAAGAGCUGCUGUAUGAAUCCCGCUUAGAAAACAGCUGAACCAGACAUUCUGCAGUGUAAAUAUAUGUUGUGCUUUAAAAAGAUAACAGAAAGGAGGAAAGAAUGGAGGAGGAAGGGAAGAAAGAUCGUUUCUUAUCUUUUCUGUAGAGACUCUUCCUCUCCCAUCACAGGUCGUGCUCUUGGUCAUUUAACUCAUGGGCCUAACUUCUAAUAGUACCACAGCAGUUACCCAGAAAGUUCCAUGUUCAGUGGUUCAACAGCCUUCACAGUUAUGGAAUUCUGCCCUCCUGGAAAUUGUCAUUGGGAAGAGCAUACAGGUUUCAGUCAUGAGAACAGCAGAUAUAUGGGCACAGGGGCCUAAUGUGACUUUACUGGAAAAGCUGAAUAUCAAGGACAGUCUUGAAGAAGAAGUUGUCUUGGUGGAAGUGGAGGACAGUGAGAGGGACAAGGAUGCUCACCUUAUCUCGGGAAGCCAUGUGAUAAAAGGGAAAGGACGCGGAUAGCCUGGGGUUGGGGGAGGUGGGGAGACAGAAUCUGCUGACUCAGGUUCGCACGUCUGCCAGUAAUGAUGGAGCGGGUGUUUGGAGAUGACUGUCAAGAAGGAAUCAGAAGGUGGUUUCUAGUCAUUAUUAUACUAUAACUGCCCCUUGAGCAGAUAUGCAAGGGAGAAACAUCAGUUUCAUCACUUUUUGUCAUUAUUUUUAUUCUCAGUCAAGAGAUCUCCUUUUCCUUCUUUUUCUUCCUUUCUGUUUUCCUCUUUUUUCUUCCUCUUAGUUUUCCUUCUUUCUCCUCCUCUUCUGUCUCUUCCUUCUCACCUCCCAUGUCAUUGCCAAUCUCCAGCACAAGGACUAAUCUCCAAAUUGAUGGACAUGUACCCGCCCAUCAUCCUCUGCCUUCCUCUAAUAGUUAACAGUCAUCCCUAUCCACUCCUACCUCCGUCUUCUCUUUUAAAUCAUUUACAAUCUCUCCACUUGGGACUUCUUUUCUUCCUCAUUUAUAAACAUGGGAUGUCAGAGACUUUCUUCAGGCUGGCUCAUUUAAAUAUUAAAACAUUUCAGCAGUGCACAACUGCCUUUAAAUUUCAGCUUUCAUGGCUUGUGCUUUUACUAAAUUAAUAGUCAGCACUUCCAUAGCACUUGUGAUUUUCAAAGCAGUCCACAAACAUUAAUUAAUGCUAAUGCUACCCUAAGAGAAUGCUGUAACUAGCUAACUGACUGAACUUUAUCUCGAAUUAUUUUUAAAUGGUUUUAAACUUGGGAGGGAAAUUGCAGAGGAUGGGGAAGUGUGUAUAGUGUUUGCUAUCAUUUACUGCCUCCUAAAAGUAAUGAUGCAGCAAAUUGAAGUGAAUCAUCCUCAAAAGGAUAUUAAGGUUUGAUCCACCUGGAAUUAAUCAUCUCUAAGAAUUCCCUGUUGCCUAAACUGCAUCGACCAAAGCAAUGCUUGGAAUAAACAUCUAGAGACAAAAAGUAGUUCAUAAUCUGGCCAUCUUUUCUCUUUUUAUUUACAUUAACUGGAAUCUUAAGGUUUUAAUCACUUUGAUUCUUUGCUUAUCACGCUUUGCAA